UCCGUAGGCGGGCUAAUAAGUCAGAGGUGAAAUCCCACAGCUUAACUGUGGCACUGCCUUUGAUACUGUUAGUCUUGAGUCAUAAUGAGGUAGAUGGAAUGUGUAGUGUAGCGGUGAAAUGCAUAGAUAUUACACAGAACACCGAUUGCGAAGGCAGUCUACUAAUUAUGUACUGACGCUGAGGGACGAAAGCGUGGGUAGCGAACAGGAUUAGAUACCCUGGUGGUCC
rnacentral:rRNA from 1 species